rnacentral:rRNA from 1 species
AGAGUUUGAUCAUGGCUCAGAAUCAACGCUGGCGGCGUGCCUAACACAUGCAAGUCGAGCGAGAGGAAGUAGCAAUACUUUAGUAAAGCGGCGCACGGGUGAGUAACACGUGGAUAACCUGCCUCGAAGUGGGGAAUAACCCCGGGAAACCGGAGCUAAUACCGCAUAAUCUGACGAGAUCUGUGGAUUUUGUCAGCAAAGGAGCAAUUCGCUUUGAGAGGGGUCCGCGGCUGAUUAGCUAGUUGGUGAGGUAAUGGCUCACCAAGGCAACGAUCAGUAUCCGGUCUGAGAGGACGGUCGGACACACUGGAACUGAGACACGGUCCAGACUCCUACGGGAGGCAGCAGUGGGGAAUUUUUGGCAAUGGGGGCAACCCUGACCAAGCAACGCCGCGUGGGUGAUGAAGUCUCUUGGGACGUAAAACCCUUUCGACGGGGAAGAAACCGCAAGGUUGACGGUACCCGUAGAAGAAGCCCCGGCUAACUCCGUGCCAGCAGCCGCGGUAAUACGGGGGGGGCAAGCGUUGUUCGGAAUUACUGGGCGUAAAGGGUGCGUAGGCGGUUCGCUAAGUCGGAUGUGAAAACUCUGGGCUCAACCCAGAGCCUGCAUCCAAAACUGGCGGGCUAGAGUUCUGGAGGGGGUAGCGGAAUUCCUGGUGUAGCGGUGAAAUGCGUAGAUAUCAGGAGGAACACCGGUGGCGAAGGCGGCUACCUGGACAGAAACUGACGCUGAGGCACGAAAGCUAGGGGAGCAAACAGGAUUAGAUACCCUAGUAGUCC